UACAGAGGUCUCAAGCGUUGUUCGGAUUCAUUGGGCGUAAAGGGUGCGUAGGUGGCGCUGUAAGUCGGGUGUGAAAUUUCGGAGCUUAACUCCGAAACUGCAUUCGAUACUGCGGUGCUUGAGGACUGGAGAGGAGACUGGAAUUCAUGGUGUAGCAGUGAAAUGCGUAGAGAUCAUGAGGAAGACCAGUGGCGAAGGCGGGUCUCUGGACAGUUCCUGACACUGAGGCACGAAGGCCAGGGGAGCAGACGGG
rnacentral:rRNA from 1 species